UGUGAACAUACCUACUGUUGCUUCGGCGGGAUUGCCCCGGGCGCCUCGUGUGCCCCGGAUCAGGCGCCCGCCUAGGAAACUUAACUCUUGUUUUAUUUUGGAAUCUUCUGAGUAGUUUUUACAAAUAAAUAAAAACUUUCAACAACGGAUCUCUUGGUUCUGGCAUCGAUGAAGAACGCAGCGAAAUGCGAUAAGUAAUGUGAAUUGCAGAAUUCAGUGAAUCAUCGAAUCUUUGAACGCACAUUGCGCCCGCCAGUAUUCUGGCGGGCAUGCCUGUCUGAGCGUCAUUUCAACCCUCAUGCCCCUAGGGCGUGGUGUUGGGGAUCGGCCAAAGCCCGCGAGGGACGGCCGGCCCCUAAAUCUAGUGGCGGACCCGUCGUGGCCUCCUCUGCGAAGUAGUGAUAUUCCGCAUCGGAGAGCGACGAGCCCCUGCCGUUAAACCCCCAACUUUCCAAGGUUGACCUCAGAUCAGGUAGGAAUACCCGCUGAACUUAAGCAUAUCAAAA
rnacentral:rRNA from 1 species